CUACGUGCCAGCAGCCGCGGUAAUACGUAUGUCACAAGCGUUAUCCGGAUUUAUUGGGCGUAAAGCGCGUCUAGGUGGUUAUGUAAGUCUGAUGUGAAAAUGCAGGGCUCAACUCUGUAUUGCGUUGGAAACUGUGUAACUAGAGUACUGGAGAGAUAAGCGGAACUACAAGUGUAGAGGUGAAAUUCGUAGAUAUUUGUAGGAAUGCCGAUGGGGAAGCCAGCUUACUGGACAGAUACUGACGCUAAAGCGCGAAAGCGUGGGUAGCAAACAGGAUUAGAUACCCUGGUAGUCCACGCCGUAAACGAUGAUUACUAGGUGUUGGGGGUCGAACCUCAGCGCCCAAGCUAACGCGAUAAGUAAUCCGCCUGGGGAGUACGUACGCAAGUAUGAAACUCAAAGGAAUUGACGGGGACCCGCACAAGCGGUGGAGCAUGUGGUUUAAUUCGACGCAACGCGAGGAACCUUACCAGCGUUUGACAUC
rnacentral:rRNA from 1 species